AACGAACGCUGGCGGCAUGCCUAACACAUGCAAGUCGAACGAGACCUUCGGGUCUAGUGGCGCACGGGUGCGUAACGCGUGGGAAUCUGCCCUUGGGUUCGGAAUAACAGUUAGAAAUGACUGCUAAUACCGGAUAAUGUCUUCGGACCAAAGAUUUAUCGCCCAGGGAUGAGCCCGCGUAGGAUUAGCUAGUUGGUGAGGUAAAGGCUCACCAAGGCGACGAUCCUUAGCUGGUCUGAGAGGAUGAUCAGCCACACUGGGACUGAGACACGGCCCAGACUCCUACGGGAGGCAGCAGUGGGGAAUAUUGGACAAUGGCGAAAGCCUGAUCCAGCAAUGCCGCGUGAGUGAUGAGGCUUAGGGUUGUAAAGCUCUUUACCCGGGAUGAUAAUGACAG
rnacentral:rRNA from 1 species